AUUGAACGCUGGGGCAUGCUUUACACAUGCAAGUCGAACGGUAACAGGCCGCAAGGUGCUGACGAGUGGCGAACGGGUGAGUAAUGCAUCGGAACGUGCCCAGUCGUGGGGGAUAACGCAGCGAAAGCUGUGCUAAUACCGCAUACGAUCUAUGGAUGAAAGCGGGGGACCGUAAGGCCUCGCGCGAUUGGAGCGGCCGAUGUCAGAUUAGCUAGUUGGUGGGGUAAAGGCCCACCAAGGCGACGAUCUGUGGCUGGUCUGAGAGGACGACCAGCCACACUGGGACUGAGACACGGCCCAGACUCCUACGGGAGGCAGCAGUGGGGAAUUUUGGACAAUGGGCGCAAGCCUGAUCCAGCAAUGCCGCGUGCAGGAAGAAGGCCUUCGGGUUGUAAACUGCUUUUGUACGGAACGAAACGGUCUGGGUUAAUACCUCGGGCUAAUGACGGUACCGUAAGAAUAAGCACCGGCUAACUACGUGCCAGCCGCCGCAGUAAGAC
rnacentral:rRNA from 1 species